rnacentral:misc_RNA from 1 species
UGAUGUAAAAAAAAAAUGAUACUUACUCAACAUAAGGCCAAACUUCUUCACAGUUAUUAAGAAUGUAAAGAUGUGCCUUAUGCUUCUAAUCAUCAGUGAGCAAGUGAUACUCACCUCUUCCUAAUGGUCGCCCAGAUCUUCUAAAAAUUCCCAACCCAUCAUUGCAACCAUUUUGAUCAAGCCAUCAUCAUUUCGUGGGAGCUGAUUAAAGAUGGUGUCAAUUCCUACCAAAUAUCUUCAACAAAAAAGUUAAACACUCAUCAGCAAUGUAAGCUUCAGCAAUUGAUCCUUCUGGCUUUGCCUUAUUUCAAACAUAUCAUUUUAAUUUAUGCAAAUAUCUCUCAAUUGGGUACAUCCAUCUGUAUUGAAUAGGUCCAGCAAUCUUG